CGCAGUUUGGCCCAGACGACCCUGUCAGGAAGCAGCCUCGCUUUCAGAGCCAGGUGGACCGCAGACAUGACCUGUACAAGGCCCACCAGGUGGCGCUCAACACCAUGGAGACCAACCGGACGAGGGUUUAGCCGUCUAUGAGAUUCUGAGGGACCUGGAGUCGCAGUGUCUGAGCGAGAUUUCAGCCAUGCUGAAUGGAGAGAUACCAGUAGAAGAAUUGGGGGACUUGUUUUUUGAUUCCGUGGACACAGAGAUCAAGUUCUACCAGUGAGCAGCGCCCUCAGGUGGACAUCCCUAACGCUCGCAGAGUUGCAGAAGGCCCCGGGACUGUUAAAAAA